rnacentral:tRNA from 1 species
UCCCUGGCAGUCCAGUGGUUAGGACUUGGCAUUCUCAUUGCUGGGGACUUUAGGUUCAAUUCCUAUUUGGGGAA